rnacentral:rRNA from 1 species
GACGAACGCUGGCGGCGUGCUUAACACAUGCAAGUCGAACGGAAAGGCCCUGCUGUUGUGGGGUGCUCGAGUGGCGAACGGGUGAGUAACACGUGAGUAACCUGCCCUUUACGUUGGGAUAACUUCAGUAAACUGGGGCUAAUACCGGAUAGGAGCUCCUGCUGCAUGUUGGGGGUUGGAAAGUUUCGGCGGUUGGGGAUUGACUCGCGGCUUAUCAGCUUGUUGGUGGGGUAGUGGCUUACCAAGGCUUUGACGGGUAGCCGGCCUGAGAGGGUCACCGGCCACAUUGGGACUGAGAUACGGCCCAGACUCCUACGGGAGGCAGCAGUGGGGAAUAUUGCACAAUGGGCGGAAGCCUGAUGCAGCAACGCCGCGUGCGGGAUGACGGCCUUCGGGUUGUAAACCGCUUUCGCCUGUGACGAAGCGUGAGUGACGGUAAUGGGUAAAGAAGCACCGGCUAACUACGUG